CCUGCAUGAGCGGGAGAACUUCUGGAAACGGAAGCUGAUACCGGAUGAGCAAAGAGGAGGCAUCUUCUUUUUGGAAAAGGGGACAAGAGUCCCGCAUGCAGAUGGACCUGCGGUGCAUUAGCUGGUUGGAGAGGUAACGGCUCACCAAGGCGACGAUGCAUAGCCGGCCUGAGAGGGCGGACGGCCACACUGGGACUGAGACACGGCCCAGACUCCUGCGGGAGGCAGCAGUAGGGAAUUUUCGUCAAUGGGGGGAACCCUGAACGAGCAAUGCCGCGUGAGCGAGGAAGGUCUUCGGAUCGUAAAGCUCUGUUGCCGGGGACAAAAGGCAGAAAGAGUGGAAAGCUUUCUGAGUGAUGGUACCCGGCGAGGAAGUCACGGCUAACUACGUGCCAUCAGCCGCGGUAAUACGUAGGUGGCGAGCGUUAUCCGGAAUGAUUGGGCGUAAAGGGUGCGCAGGCGGCCGGGCAAGUCCGCAGUAAAAACUGGAGGCUCAACCUUCAGGGGCUGCGGAAACUGUCCGGCUGGAGAGCAGGAGAGGACGGUGGAACUCCAUGUGUAGCG
rnacentral:rRNA from 1 species